UGCAUCAAACAACAAAUGCCCUGAGACCAAAGUUGUUUAUAACAACUUGUCUGGACAAGGAAGAGAGCUGGGAGCAGCUCUAGUCUUCCUCAUUGAGGGCUGUGCUGAAAGCUGCUAAGGGGUGGCUGAGGAGCAGUUUAUGCCCAGGCCCAGCUGAGGCUCAUCCAGUCUAGUCACCUCAGGCUCACGAUGCAUGAUGGAGAAGGAUAUAAAAACCGGCAGCAGUGGCUAAAAAUGAGUACGGGAGCUACGAUGAAGGGAAGCGGAAAACCGGAAAACCGCUGCAGCAUCGUACUGGCGAGAAAGUGGCUCUUGGGACGCUGAGAGAGCCGCGCGCCGGCGAGGCGCGUGCGGAAAAGCUGCGCAGGCGCUCCAACGGCCUCCAGCCACGUGACGCCUGACACGUGACACCUGACACGUGACUCCUGACACGUGGCUC
rnacentral:lncRNA from 10 species